CUGUGAUGGUACCUUCCUCACAGCUCCAGCCAGGUUGGCCAUUUUGUUCUUCCUCAAGCACGUUGCAGGUGUUCACCUUGGUAUUUUGCAGUUGCUAUUUCUUCUGCUUGCAGUUUUCUUCACCCAGAUAAUUAUGUGGUUCCAGAACUCACUUCCUUAUUCAGUUUUUAGAUAACAUUGUUUUCUCAAAAACAUGUUUGAAUAUGAGGAGCAGUGUAAGUAUGCAAGUCUGUGUUUUGUAAAUUCAGUUUUUAUCUUGAUAGCUGUUUAUGUUGACUUAGAUGAAACAUGGUUCUUUAAUUUUAUGAUAUGUUUGUUAUAGCUAUCUUAAAAGGGCUUCUUUUUUUUAAUGCAGAAAGAGGGGAAAAAGGAGCGAGCUGUGGUGGACAAGGUGUUUUUCUCAAGGCUCAUACAGAUUCUGAAAAUCAUGGUCCCUAGAACAUUUUGUAAAGAGGUAAGUCUUAUGAAAUUAUAAUCUUAAGUAUAUUGGGCUGUUCUUUAAUAAAAUACCUGAGGCUGGGUAAUUUAUAAAGAAAAGAGAUUUAAUUGGCUCCUGGUUCUGCAGGCUGUACAAGCAUGGCGCAGCAUCUCCUCCACUUCCGGGGAGGCCUCAGGAAGCUGGCAAUCACAGCUGAAGGUGAAGGGGGAAGCCAGUGUCUCACAUGGUGAGAGAAGGGAGCAAAGGGCCAAGGAGGUGCCACAUACUUUUAAACAACCAGAUACAUGAGAACUCACUCACUGUCUGGAGGACAGCACCAUGCCAUGAGGGAUCUGCCUCCAUGACCCAAACACCUCCCACCAGGCCCCACCUCCAACACUGGGGAUUACAUUUCAACAUGAGAUUUGGGUGGAGACAGAUACCCAAAUUAAAUUAUUAAGUGUUCAACUUUCAAGGUUAUGUAAGAUUAGAACAGUAAAAUCACAACACUUUGGUUAUACUAUAGGUCAAAUGUUUUCUCUGUCGGUCAAGAAGAUUACUAAAUUUUUGUCUUUAAAUCAUCACCUGUCAUACAAAAACCCUUGUUCAGUGCCAGUUUUUUUCUCUAUCUUCCUCAGCAUUCUCUCAUUCUGUAACUAGAAGUAUCAUUACCUUCAGCUCUUCCUCUUCCCCUUGUCACCCUUUUUGGUCACUGGGAUCUGCUAAUUUUUCCUAUACUUAACUGUUACAAAAGCAUUGCAGUUCCCAAAGAAAACGUACAUUCCUUCAUCAUGCUGGAUUUGCUCUUUCCCUCACUUUGGCAUCAUCUCCUGAUGAUUCUGCCCUUGAGAAAUUCUUUUUUAAAAAAAAGUAAUAGCACUUGUUUUUUCCUAAUUAGACAGAGGUAAUACAUGUUCCUUGAAGAAAAUUAGAAAAUGCAGCUAGAUUUAUUUUUUGGCACCUAUCAGCCUCUUACUCAUUUUGACAUAUAGUCAUCUUGUGUGCAAGCAUAUAUUUUAAUUUAAAAAUGGGAUCACACACUUUUAAGAUCUGCUCCUUCC
rnacentral:lncRNA from 1 species